rnacentral:rRNA from 1 species
UACAGAGGUCUCAAGCGUUGUUCGGAUUCACUGGGCGUAAAGGGUGCGUAGGCGGUCGGGUAAGUCUGACGUGAAAUCUUCAAGCUCAACUUGGAAACUGCGUCCGAUACUAUUCGGCUAGAGGAAUGGAGGGGAGACUGGAAUACUUGGUGUAGCAGUGAAAUGCGUAGAUAUCAAGUGGAACACCAGUGGCGAAGGCGAGUCUCUGGACAUUUCCUGACGCUGAGGCACGAAAGCCAGGGGAGCAAACGGG